ACUUCCGUAGCUCAGUUGGUAGAGCAAACGACCGAUAAUCGUUAGGUCACUGGUUCGACUCCAGUCGGGAGUACCA
rnacentral:tRNA from 3 species